rnacentral:rRNA from 1 species
GACGGAGGAUGCAAGCGUUAUCCGGAAUCACUGGGUUUAAAGGGUGCGUAGGCGGACUUGUAAGUCAGUGGUGAAAUCUCUCAGCUUAACUGAGAAACUGCCAUUGAUACUGCAGGUCUAGAGUAUAGAUGACGUUGGCGGAAUAUGACAUGUAGUGGUGAAAUACUUAGAUAUGUCAUAGAACACCGAUUGCGAAGGCAGCUAACGAAACUAUAACUGACGCUGAGGCACGAAAGUGCGGGGAUCAAACAGG